GGCCUUUCGAAUUGUAAGGACUUUCAGCUGUCGCUGGCUCUCACAAGGAGCAUGUGCACGCUGGGUUCAAACUCUUCAUCUUUAAUCUCCUGUGCACCUUUUGUGGACUUUUGGAUGGAUAAUUUCUCGAGUUUAAACCACUCGGUCUUGCGGUUUGCGCCUCACCCGCGCUCUCCGCUUCAUCCGUCCUCAAGUUCACGAUUUUAUCACACACACUAUUAUUUAUUAUCAGAAUGUCUUUAUAGUCGGGACUAGUGCCCUUCUAAUAAUCAUAAUACAACUUUCAACAACGGAUCUCUUGGCUCUCGCAUCGAUGAAGAACGCAGCGAAAUGCGAUAAGUAAUGUGAAUUGCAGAUUUCAGUGAAUCAUCGAAUCUUUGAACGCACCUUGCGCCCUGUGGUAUUCCGCAGGGCAUGCCCGUUUGAGUGUCAUUAAAUCAUCAACUCUAAACACUUUUGUGGUGUCUAGCUGCUUGGUCUUGAGGGUCUUGCAGGCGCUCCGGCGUCUGCUCCCUUUAAAUUCAUUAGCGAGACUUCCCUUUGCUGACCGUCUCUUGGCGUGAUAAUUAUCUGCGUCAAACCUUUGACUGGUUCUCUUUGGGCUUGCUUCUAAUCGUCUUCGGACAAUCGAUUUGGGACCGCAUAUAUGCGCCUCACUUCAAACCAUUUUUGACCUCAAAUCGGGUAGGACUACCCGCUGAACUUAAGCAUAUCAAUAGGCCGGAGGA
rnacentral:rRNA from 1 species